CUGGUGCCAGUGGCUGUGGAAAGCAAGGCGUCCCUGAAAUCAGUCCAUUUGGAACCCGUUGCUGAUUGUGGUGGUGCCAAUAUGAAGGGUCGAAUGCUGGUGGUGGUGGUGGAGGAGGCCAUGUAGGUGGCGGCGGCGAUGGGGAGUGAGCUGGAUGUUUAGGCCACAUUUGCAUUAAAGGUUGUUCCAUGGGAGGAUGACCCCACACAUGCAAGGGUCUAAAGUGGUGGUGGUGCAUAGGUGUUAUUGGAGGAAACCCCAUUGUGGGUGCAUGCCAAGGGCUCAUGUCCCUCUUGCCACCGCCUCCAGCCGCUCCGUACAUUUGCCGUCUAUGGCUCCAUGUUGCUGCCUCAGCUUCUCUCGCUAGCAAAUGUUUUCUGUGAGAUCGAUAUUUUUGGAGAUGGCUGGCGAUAUUAUGCCGAGUGAGACAGUCAAUACCCAUAAGCUCUAAAAUCCUCGAAGGCACUGCCUUAUCCACCCCCAAUUGCUCCACUGCUUGUACGAACCUCCUGUGCAGCUCUGGCGUCCAAUCCACCUUCACUUUUCUCUUGCCUUGAUUAUUCUUGGCUGGUGUUGAUUUUCUUCCCUUAUCACUUUCUUUAGAAACUCGAUUAACCACUACGGAUUCAUCUCUCUUGCUCACAAUCUCCUCUCCCCUUGUACUCAAACUCGAAUCCAAGCCCGACCCAGAACCCGAAACCUUAUCUUCCUCAUCUUUUCUCGGAUUAUCCUCCACUUUUUCAUUUGACACGGAUAUGUUCAUCUCUGAUUCCGAGCCGCUACCACUAACGGAGAAGUCAGCAAGAAUUUCAGGAUCCAUCUCCAAAUCUGGCAACAUAUCCCCAUCAUUGAUGCCCGCAAAAAGAUCGCCGAAAUCGAUGCUUUCAAGCAAGUCAGGGAAGUCUUCGUUGUUAAAACUCUCCGUCUGUUCUUGGCUCUCAUCUUUGGUGGUGGUGGUGGUGGUGUUUGGCAGGUUUGCCACAGCUAGCAUC
rnacentral:misc_RNA from 1 species